rnacentral:rRNA from 1 species
GGACGGGUGAGUAAUGCUUGGGAACUUGCCUUUGCGAGGGGGAUAACAGUUGGAAACGACUGCUAAUACCGCAUAAUGUCUUCGGACCAAACGGGGCUUAGGCUCCCGGCGCAGAGAGAGGCCCAAGUGAGAUUAAGCUAGUUGGUAAGGUAAAGGGCUUUACCAAAGGCGACGAUCUCUAGCUGUUCUGAGAGGAAGAUCAGCCACACUGGGACUGAGACACGGCCCAGACUCCUACGGGAGGCAGCAGUGGGGAAUAUUGCACAAUGGGGGAAACCCUGAUGCAGCCAUGCCGCGUGUGUGAAGAAGGCCUUCGGGUUGUAAAGCACUUUCAGUUGUGAGGAAAAGUUAGUAGUUAAUACCUGCUAGCCGUGACGUUAACAACAGAAGAAGCACCGGCUAACUCCGUGCCAGCAGCCGCGGUAAUACGGAGGGUGCGAGCGUUAAUCGGAAUUACUGGGCGUAAAGCGCACGCAGGCGGUUUGUUAAGCUAGAUGUGAAAGCCCCGGGCUCAACCUGGGAUGGUCAUUUAGAACUGGCAGACUAGAGUCUUGGAGAGGGGAGUGGAAUUCCAGGCGUAGCGGUGAAAUGCGUAGAUAUCUGGAGGAACAUCAGUGGCGAAGGGGACUCCCUGGCCAAAGACUGACGCUCAUGUGCGAAAGUGUGGGUAGCGAACAGGAUUAGAUACCCUGGUAGUCCACACCGUAAACGCUGUCUACUAGCUGUGUGUGAUUUUAAAUCGUGAGUAGCGAAGCUAACGCGCUAAGUAGACCGCCUGGGGAGUACGGCCGCAAGGUUAAAACUCAAAUGAAUUGACGGGGGCCCGCACAAGCGGUGGAGCAUGUGGGUUUAAUUCGAUGCAACGCGAAGAAACCUUACCUACACUUGACAUGCA